rnacentral:rRNA from 1 species
AUGCAAGUCGAACGCUGAAGCCCGCUGCUUGCUGUGGGUGGAUGAGUGGCGAACGGGUGAGUAACACGUGAGUAACCUGCCCCCGAUUUCGGGAUAAGCCCGGGAAACUGGGUCUAAUACCGGAUAUGACCUCAAGCCGCAUGGUCGCUGGUGGAAAGUUUUUCGAUCGGGGAUGGGCUCGCGGCCUAUCAGCUUGUUGGUGGGGUAAUGGCCUACCAAGGCGACGACGGGUAGCCGGCCUGAGAGGGCGACCGGCCACACUGGGACUGAGACACGGCCCAGACUCCUACGGGAGGCAGCAGUGGGGAAUAUUGCACAAUGGGGGAAACCCUGAUGCAGCGACGCAGCGUGCGGGAUGACGGCCUUCGGGUUGUAAACCGCUUUCAGCAGGGAAGAAGCGAAAGUGACGGUACCUGCAGAAGAAGUACCGGCUAACUACGUGCCAGCAGCCGCGGUAAUACGUAGGGUACGAGCGUUGUCCGGAAUUAUUGGGCGUAAAGAGCUCGUAGGUGGUUGGUCACGUCUGCUGUGGAAACGCAACGCUUAACGUUGCGCGGGCAGUGGGUACGGGCUGACUAGAGUGCAGUAGGGGAGUCUGGAAUUCCUGGUGUAGCGGUGAAAUGCGCAGAUAUCAGGAGGAACACCGGUGGCGAAGGCGGGACUCUGGGCUGUAACUGACACUGAGGAGCGAAAGCAUGGGGAGCGAACAGGAUUAGAUACCCUGGUAGUCCAUGCCGUAAACGUUGGGCACUAGGUGUGGGGGACAUUCCACGUUCUCCGCGCCGUAGCUAACGCAUUAAGUGCCCCGCCUGGGGAGUACGGUCGCAAGGCUAAAACUCAAAGGAAUUGACGGGGGCCCGCACAAGCGGCGGAGCAUGCGGAUUAAUUCGAUGCAACGCGAAGAACCUUACCAAGGCUUGACAUACACCGGACCGGGCUGGAAACAGUCUUUCCCUUUUUGGGCUGGUGUACAGGUGGUGCAUGGUUGUCGUCAGCUCGUGUCGUGAGAUGUUGGGUUAAGUCCCGCAACGAGCGCAACCCUCGUUCUAUGUUGCCAGCACGUGAUGGUGGGAACUCAUAGGAGACUGCCGGGGUCAACUCGGAGGAAGGUGGGGAUGACGUCAAAUCAUCAUGCCCUUU